rnacentral:rRNA from 1 species
GACGUAGGGCGCGAGCGUUGUCCGGAUUUAUUGGGCGUAAAGAGCUCGUAGGCGGUUUGUCGCGUCGGCCGUGAAAACUCACAGCUUAACUGUGAGCUUGCGGUCGAUACGGGCAGGCUAGAGUUCGGUAGGGGAGACUGGAAUUCCUGGUGUAGCGGUGAAAUGCGCAGAUAUCAGGAGGAACACCGGUGGCGAAGGCGGGUCUCUGGGCCGUAACUGACGCUGAGGAGCGAAAGCGUGGGGAGCGAACAGG